UAGAGCCGCCUAAAAUAGGGCGUAAUUGUACGCCCUCCGGUCUUAAGGGGUUAAUUAGAAAUUAUAUCCGUGUAUGUUAUGUUUUUGGAAGUAUUGUCCAAUUGCUGUUUAAACCUCUGUAUGGACUCUCAUAAAACCACCUCUUCAGGCAAAGAAUUCCAUAUCCUUAUAGUUCUUACUGUAAAAAAACAACUUUCCUUUGCUUUAGAUUAAAUCUCCUUUCUUCCAGCCUAAAUGCAUGGCCUCGUGUCCUAUGUGUAGCCCUGUUCAUGAAUAGAUUUCCAGAUAAUGGUUUGUACUGGCCCCGAAUAUAUUUUGUAAUGUUAUCAUAUUCCCUCUGAGGCGCCGUUUUAACAAACUAAAGAUAUUUAAAUUUCUUAACCUUUCUUCGUAACUAAAAUGCUCCAUUCCUUUGAUCAAUUUUGUAGCUCGUCUCUGCACUUUUUCUAGUGCCAUGAUAUCCUUCUUAGAACAGGUGCCCAAAAUUGCACAGAAUAUUCAAGGUUUGGUCUUACCAGCGACUUAUUAAGAGGCAAA